CGUCAUACGGGGCCGGGGCCUGGGGCAGAGAGGAUGCUGACGUGCAGGUACCAGCGGUGUUCUGUGGAGAUGUCUCAAAGGCUGUUGACUUUGGAAUCUGAGACUUAGGGCUCAUCCAAAUGGAUGUUACAUUUGCGGGUGUGUGUUUAAGGUGCAGCGUAUGAAUAAAUUCAUUUCCUCACAGAUCUAUACACUGAAUUUCAGCAUCACUCAUCUCAAGACCUUGGCCCUCUUCCCUUUCCUGGCCUGCUUCCUGCAGCAUGUAAUUUGCUAGUGUCCAGAACUAGCCAGUGUGCCUUUUCUUUCCACACGCACUGCCUGGUUCACCUUCUUCCUGUAAAGUGCCUCCGUCCUUUGUCCCCAUCUGUCCCGAUCGUAAAUAGGUCCUGGCUACAGAGGCAUCCUGGCUCUAGAUCAUUGUAACAGCUGCCGCUCUCCUGUCAGUCCCCCGGGCCCUGCCAUCCACUGAGAGUCUGAAAUCCUUUGCACUCAGUUCCUGACUGUCCUCCACUCAGAAGCCCAGGGAUGGCUGGAGUGGAGGUGGAAGCGGGGUGGGCCUGGUUGAGCAGGAUCAGACUCUGCCCGGCCAGGGGAGGAGGAGGAGGACCCACCAAAGGCCCUGGAUGAUGCCCCUCCUGCUCAUCACCCUGCCUGCCCUAGCAUCCUCUCGACACAGAAACCAGUCCCUUUUCUUCUAUGAAACUUCUCCAGUGAUUGUGACCUUUGCUGAUUUCUCCCUUCUUUGAAUGCAGAUGGGCCUAUAAUUCACUCUUAACUUAGC
rnacentral:lncRNA from 1 species